UAGUUUGUGAUAAUCUCAACCAGAAGUUUGAACUUUAAUGGUUUGUCAUAGCAAUGACUUCUCCCUUGCAAAAGUAUAUAAUGAUGUCUCCCUGCUAUGCAGAGCGCGGAGUUUUCAUGUAGCCGACACAGACAGCGUGGUCUACCCUGUGUCACUCGCCUAUGAGCAAUCUGUGUAAAGACACCACUCUUCAGUUUUACUUUCUGCAGUGACAGCACACCCGAGCCCAUGUCUCAGCGUCAAGAGUGAUUUUGCUGGACUCUUAAAGUUGACACUAUGCACAGCACUGUGAGCACAGGCUUGGAAGUUCCGAGUAAAGGUUGUAUCACAAGGUAAUGACCUGCGCAGUGCCUUGUUUGUAGAUUCACACUUUUGACUAUUCAGGUUGAAUUGGGUCUUGUCUAUUAUUUUAGGGCCGAGAUGAAUGUCAGUCAAAUUUUGAAAGAGAAUUCCAUUGUGAGUAUUUUUGAAGUUUUUAUCCAAAUAUUUGCUGUGUAAUAACCAAUUUUGCAAUUUUUUAUCACAAACUCUGUUUGCAGCUUUCUGCAUGCCUGAACUGGAUGGGGGUGGAAUAUCUGCACUCAUGCAGAGGACAUGGAAACUCUCACUCCCCAUGGGACAUUUCGACAGGCCCAUCUGGAGUCCAGCGUUGGCAGUGGAGGAGCGACGUCCCUUCUUCGCUGCAGCUACUUCUACCUCCUUGUAGAGCUUAUGAUGCUUAGACAGUGAACAAUCCUCCUCCUGAGUGGUGUUUCUCAUCCUCGGCCUUAACUGGCGGUAUGGCAGACUGACAAUUAUGAAUGGGAUCAAGAGAUGUUGAGCUUGGCAGAGGAGAAAUGUGAUCUUCAAAUUGCAGAAUCAGAGGAGGAGUCUCUGAGGCAUUCCAAAGUGAGGAAGGGGUAGGUUAUGUGAUCCAGAGAUCAAUACCUUCACGUUAGUAGGUUUAAAUUGUGAAUACUAUUUUCACAACUUUGUUAAAUAUAUUUGUCUACCUUAACUAGGGAUGGCGUGA